GCGGACGUGCUGGAAUUGGCAUACAGAAUAGCUUGAGGAGCUAUGCCCAUUAGGGCGUGGAGGUUCGAGUCCUCUCGUCCGCACAA
rnacentral:tRNA from 3 species